AGCAGAGAUGCUUUGGUGCCUUCGGGAACUCUGAGACCAGGUGCUGCAUGGCUGUCGUCAGCUCGUGUUGUGAAAUGUUUGGGUUAAGUCCCGCAACGAGCGCAACCCUUAUCNUUUUGUUGCCAGCGGCUCGGCCGGGAACUCAAAGGAGACUGCCGGUGAUAAACCGGAGGAAGGUGGGGAUGACGUCAAGUCAUCAUGGCCCUUACGGCCAGGGCUACACACGUGCUACAAUGGCGCAUACAAAGAGAAGCGACCUCGCGAGAGCAAGCGGACCUCAUAAAGUGCGUCGUAGUCCGGAUUGGAGUCUGCAACU
rnacentral:rRNA from 1 species